rnacentral:rRNA from 1 species
UGGGGAAUAUUGCACAAUGGGCGCAAGCCUGAUGCAGCCAUGCCGCGUGUGUGAAGAAGGCCUUCGGGUUGUAAAGCACUUUCAGCGGGGAGGAAGGCGUUAAGGUUAAUAACCUUGGCGAUUGACGUUACCCGCAGAAGAAGCACCGGCUAACUCCGUGCCAGCAGCCGCGGUAAUACGGAGGGUGCAAGCGGUAAUCGGAAUUACUGGGCGUAAAGCGCACGCAGGCGGUCUGUCAAGUCGGAUGUGAAAUCCCCGGGCUCAACCUGGGAACUGCAUUCUAAACUGGCAGGCUAGAGUCUUGUAGAGGGGGGUAGAAUUCCAGGUGUAGCGGUGAAAUGCGUAGAGAUCUGGAGGAAUACCCGUGGCGAAGGCGGCCCCCUGGACAAAGACUGACGCUCAGGUGCGAAAGCGUGGGGAGCAAACAGG